GGGUUGUGAGGUUAAGCGACUAAGCGUACACGGUGGAUGCCCUGGCAGUCAGAGGCGAUGAAGGACGUGCUAAUCUGCGAAAAGCGUCGGUAAGGUGAUAUGAACCGUUAUAACCGGCGAUGUCCGAAUGGGGAAACCCAGUGCAAUUCGUUGCACUAUCGUUAACUGAAUACAUAGGUUAACGAGGCGAACCGGGGGAACUGAAACAUCUAAGUACCCCGAGGAAAAGAAAUCAACCGAGAUUCCCCCAGUAGCGGCGAGCGAACGGGGAGCAGCCCAGAGUCUGAAUCAGCUUGUGUGUUAGUGGAACGGUCUGGAAAGUCCGACGGUACAGGGUGAUAGUCCCGUACACCAAAAUGCACAGGCUGUGAACUCGAAGAGUAGGGCGGGACACGUGGUAUCCUGUCUGAAUAUGGGGGGACCAUCCUCCAAGGCUAAAUACUCCUGACUGACCGAUAGUGAACCAGUACCGUGAGGGAAAGGCGAAAAGAACCCCGGCGAGGGGAGUGAAAAAGAACCUGAAACCGUGUACGUACAAGCAGUGGGAGCACCUUCGGGUGUGACUGCGUACCUUUUGUAUAAUGGGUCAGCGACUUAUAUUCUGUAGCAAGGUUAACCGUAUAGGGGAGCCGCAGGGAAACCGAGUCUUAACUGGGCGUUAAGUUGCAGGGUAUAGACCCGAAACCCGGUGAUCUAGCCAUGGGCAGGUUGAAGGUUGGGUAACACUAACUGGAGGACCGAACCGACUAAUGUUGAAAAAUUAGCGGAUGACUUGUGGCUGGGGGUGAAAGGCCAAUCAAACCGGGAGAUAGCUGGUUCUCCCCGAAAGCUAUUUAGGUAGCGCCUCGUGAAUUCAUCUUCGGGGGUAGAGCACUGUUUCGGCUAGGGGGUCAUCCCGACUUACCAACCCGAUGCAAACUACGAAUACCGAAGAAUGUUAUCACGGGAGACACACGGCGGGUGCUAACGUCCGUCGUGAAGAGGGAAACAACCCAGACCGCCAGCUAAGGUCCCAAAGUCAUGGUUAAGUGGGAAACGAUGUGGGAAGGCACAGACAGCCAGGAUGUUGGCUUAGAAGCAGCCAUCAUUUAAAGAAAGCGUAAUAGCUCACUGGUCGAGUCGGCCUGCGCGGAAGAUGUAACGGGGCUAAACCAUGCACCGAAGCUGCGGCAGCGACACUAUGUGUUGUUGGGUAGGGGAGCGUUCUGUAAGCCUGCGAAGGUGACCUGUGAGGGUUGCUGGAGGUAUCAGAAGUGCGAAUGCUGACAUAAGUAACGAUAAAGCGGGUGAAAAGCCCGCUCGCCGGAAGACCA
rnacentral:rRNA from 2 species